UUCUUUCUUUUUUUCUUUUUUUUUUUUUCCCUCCCCCUGGUGUGAUUCAAAUACCAGGCUGAGGAGGUCAUUGAGAGGAAGGAUUUGUUCUGUGCUUGGCUGGCUGGAACCCAGUGUCAAGCUUGAGGCAGGAUUGUGCUUCAGGAGGCAGCCAACGCACAGAACACGCUGUGUAGAUGUCCUGCACAACGCUGAGGCUCCCUCUGUCCCUGCCCUGCAGUGACUUACCCACUGAAGGAAAGACACAGGCUGUGUUUCUCUCUGCAUACACAACAGCACUGCAGCACACUCAGGUCAGUUCUGCCUUUUCACCCUGAGGCUGAUCCCUGAGUCCUGCUGGGAAGUGUCCCCCGGCCUCUGGAGCCACCCGGCAGACAGCACAAAUGCCUGGUGGAAGGAUGCACCUCAAUGCUCGGAGCAGGGAUGGGAUCCAGGCUCACAUCCUCACUCCAGUGCAUGGCUGACAGACAGUCCAGGGGAGAUGAAGGCUGUGCAAGGCAGGGAUCACUGAGCAGGAGGGUCUGAGUGUCCCACGCCGGGUCUGGCACCACACGUGUGCUCUCCGCCGUGCGAUGAGGUGCAGGACGUGGAACUCCCAAUUGCCUCCUGCUCUCCAUCCACACCCCUGCUCUGCCCCCAGCUCUGCAUGCCUGCACAAAUGUCCCUGUGGAAGUGCUUUCAAGACAGCUGUGACAUUGCAGAACCCAGCUCAGCCACGGGGCUGCUUUUAUUGCAGAAAGGGGCACCGAAAAAUUCCUCUCUCCUUUCUAGUUAUGUCUUCUGUACAGGAAGUUUUUGAUAUGGCUUUGGUCCAGCUGGAUCUCUGAGGAAAGGAGAGUCUUUCCACACAUAAACCUGCCUUGAACUUUAUGGUUUUUUUAAAAACAAACAUUGACAAAGUUAAACAUGUCAUUGUCAGUUGGUUUAAUGAGAGCAGGGAGGGGAAAGAGGUUGUUUUAGGCAUGAGACUUCUUGCUCUUAAAAACAAAAUGGAAACUUAAAACCAAACAGUGCAUAUGGGCCCAAACGAUCUCUGCAGGCAAAGGGGCUGCAAAUAAAGAGGGUUAUUUUAAGGACUCAGUAAGUAAUGAAGUCCCCCUUUAGGCUGGGCUGAUCACAAGUGAAUGAAUAGUGACUCCAAUUUCAGAGCACACAGCCUGGGGAAGUCACAGCCCUGCCUGGCUGGCCUUUAAAGUACUUGAGGCCUCUCUGUGAGACUUAAUUUGAGGACAAAGGGAAUAAAAUAGGAAGCACAUCACUUUGUGGAUGCAUGUCCUUCUGUGACAGAAAUUCUCCCACAGGGAGGAAGAAGGACUCAACUUCACUGGCACAGCAAGGCCUCUCUGCCAACUCUCUCACAAAGGGUCUGAAGUAGAUAAAAACCUCCAAAAUCUGUCCACAUCAUCCCUGCCUUGUAAUGUUUUGUGAGGAAUGAGGACUAGAGAGAGCUCUUUGGGAAGAGCCCCAUAAAGGAGCAUGCAGUGCCACUGCCUCCAAAAAAAAUUACUCCUGAGGCUGCUUUUGGUGUUGGAAAUACUCAUUUUGGUUUUGUGCAAUAGGCACAGCUGGACUGGCAACAAAAUAAAUCUGACUGUGACUGCAGUGCACUUAUCUGGAUUGGCAGAGAGGGAUUUUGAGGGGCAGAAUGAGGGAUUUAUUGGAAUGUGGGCAUCUGAAAUGGGAAAGGGCAGGAUUCCACAAAAGGAAGUGAUGCCUUUCUCUCAGGGAAACCAGGCACAUCAGAGGGAACCAGAGACCUUGGAGAGCUCAGAGACCUUUUCUUCACCACUCCAGCAGAGCCAGUGCAUUCCUGAGCUCCAUGCAAGGCAUAUCUGACCUUAUUUCAGCCUCUCCUCUGAGGGAAACCAGCUAAUUCCAUCUGCAAGUCCAACCUGAGGCAGAGAAUUUUGGGAUUACACAAUAAUUCAAUUGAAUUUCUGUUGAAGAUUAUUCCCAGGGUAAAUACAAUUAUCUAGACAUGUGACAGCAAUUCAGGAGGAGCACAGUGUAGAAAUUGGUUGUGUUGAGUGACAUUCCUGGAUGUUUCUUAGCUGUACACAUAUGACAAAGAUGUCCAAGCUAGUGACUGAGGACUUGCAUCAACGUCUUCCCAAAGUGAGGGCUCACACUAAGAAUUUUCAAGCCGUGGAAAACAGAGAAAUAUGGACAAAAAUACACAAUGAGCAGACUGACAGGAAUUUGUGGCCUUUCCUCAAGAUCCCUUCAGCCAGCAGCAGUGGAGAAGCAUCAACUGCACAGGCUACGCUCCUUGCUGGGAUUGUUACUAAUAUCCAUCACAAUGAGAAAACUGCUCCCUCUUCCUCGUGAACAGAGAGGAUUUAAACAUCUCCCCUCUGCAGAAAACAGCAUGUGACACAAGCCUGGUGCCAUCAGCUCAGCUUCUGCAAAGAGGUCUCAAAAGUUACUACCCAAAUUUUCUUUUUGAGAAGGACUGGAUUAGCAAAAGGAACUCUGCUUUCCAGCAGACUGAUGUCUGUGAAUGUGCAAUGCUGCCAUCUCCGAGGGCUGCUCUGCUCUGAUCUUUCUGCUUAAUUUUGAAUUAAGGUGAGAGGAAUUCUCUAACUCCCUGAGACUUAAAAGCCCCUCUGCAGCUCAAUCUUCAGUCCCUGUGGGUUCUGUCCAAUUCCCUGUGCCCUUGGGUGUAAAGGAGAUCAUGAAAUGUUGAGAUAUACCUUGACUUGUCCAGUGCUGCACAUUAGUUCACAAUUAUAGCUCAGAGACAGCCCCGGGCUCUGCACGAACUGAAAUCAAUCACUGGCACUGACAGCUUGACAAAAGGGUCAGGGGAAAGAUUUCAAGUUAUUUUCCACGGUAGUGACUGCUCAAGUACUGAAAUCUGGCUGAGAUCCUGACUAGUUAAUCACUGCCAGGGAAGCUUUAACCUUUAGGUAUCAGAAGUGGCCACCCAUAACUGAAAUAAGGCUUGAAUUUAUGGUCACAUUACAAUGGAGAGCUUGUGGCACUUUUCCCCACCACUUUUAUGUGUCACUGCCCUGUUGAAACCAUGCUACAUAAAAACUGACAAAAUACUUGCAGAGGAUGGACAGGAUAAGGAAAAACAAUAGGAAAAGAAAAGAAAAAAAA